rnacentral:rRNA from 1 species
CAGCCGCCGCGGUAAUACGAAGGGUGCAAGCGUUACUCGGAAUUACUGGGCGUAAAGCGUGCGUAGGUGGUGGUUUAAGUCCGUUGUGAGAGCCCUGGGCUCAACCUGGGAAUUGCAGUGGAUACUGGGUCACUAGAGUGUGGUAGAGGAUAGUGGAAUUUCCGGUGUAGCAGUGAAAUGCGUAGAGAUCGGAAGGAACAUCUGUGGCGAAGGCGACUAUCUGGGCCAACACUGACACUGAGGCACGAAAGCGUGGGGAGCAAACAGGAUUAGAUACCCCCGUAGUCCCUGUCUCUUAUAC